rnacentral:rRNA from 3 species
GUGAACAUACCUAUAACUGUUGCUUCGGCGGGUAGGGUCUCCGCGACCCUCCCGGCCUCCCGCCUCCGGGCGGGUCGGCGCCCGCCGGAGGAUAACCAAACUCUGAUUUAACGACGUUUCUUCUGAGUGGUACAAGCAAAUAAUCAAAACUUUUAACAACGGAUCUCUUGGUUCUGGCAUCGAUGAAGAACGCAGCGAAAUGCGAUAAGUAAUGUGAAUUGCAGAAUUCAGUGAAUCAUCGAAUCUUUGAACGCACAUUGCGCCCGCCAGCAUUCUGGCGGGCAUGCCUGUUCGAGCGUCAUUUCAACCCUCAAGCUCUGCUUGGUGUUGGGGCCCUACAGCUGAUGUAGGCCCUCAAAGGUAGUGGCGGACCCUCCCGGAGCCUCCUUUGCGUAGUAACUUUACGUCUCGCACUGGGAUCCGGAGGGACUCUUGCCGUAAAACCCCCCAAUUUUCCAAAGGUUGACCUCG